CAUGCUUAGUGGAUUUCCACUAAAGCUGCCAGGGAACUCUUGAAGCUUCCUCCACCUUGAACAUGUAUGCAAGAGAGAGAAAGGGAGAGGAAAAGAAAGGGAAAAGAGAUGAAGAAGAAAAAUAAAGAGAUUUCUUGGGCCGUUUGAUGAGCCGAUCGAGCCUCCUCGCGCGUUGGAUUUUUCCUACACUUCGAUUGCGAGGAGCCGACUUUGUGAGCGUUUCGUCGAGAGAUUUUUCCGUGACUUCCGGAGUGUUGUGGCUGCCACAUGGAUUGGGUGGAGGCAGCGGAACAUCUUUCCACUUCGACGAUCAUCCUUUUCGUUGAAUUCGCACGCUAGGAUAAAUCGACGCGGGGAACAACUUCGUUUUGGAUUACGAUGAGGUUACGACGUCCAAUUGGGAGAUUUUGCCAUUUUUCAUUUGUUAGGCUUGGAUCGAGCCGAAUCGGCGACGAUAAAUCGCGAGGCUUGAUUUCUCACUUCUAAACAUCGACACGAGGUUGAUGGUGCUAUUCGAAAUGGCACCUCAGAAUAGCCGGCGUCGUUGAAGCUCCGGCUCUCGGGCCAGAUCCCGGUAUCGAUCAUUCCGACGAUGACAUCCUCGCCUAACUUGGAAGCC